AUAUUGCACAAUGGGGGAAACCCUGAUGCAGCGACGCCUCGUGAGCGAUGAAGUAUUUCGGUAUGUAAAGCUCUAUCAGCAGGGAAGAAAAUGACGGUACCUGACUAAGAAGCCCCGGCUAACUACGUGCCAGCAGCAGCGGUAAUACGUAGGGGGCAAGCGUUAUCCGGAUUUACUGGGUGUAAAGGGAGCGUAGACGGUCCUGCAAGCCAGAUGUGAAAGCCCGGGGCUCAACCCCGGGACUGCAUUUGGAACUGUAAGGCUAGAGUGUCGGAGAGGCAGGCGGAAUUCCUAGUGUAGCGGUGAAAUGCGUAGAUAUUAGGAGGAACACCAGUGGCGAAGGCGGCUUACUGGACAGUAACUGACGUUGAGGCUCGAAAGCGUGGGGAGCAAACAG
rnacentral:rRNA from 1 species